rnacentral:rRNA from 1 species
AUUGAACGCUGGCGGCAGGCCUAACACAUGCAAGUCGAACGAGUGGCGGACGGGUGAGUAAUGUCUGGGAAACUGCCUGAUGGAGGGGGAUAACUACUGGAAACGGUAGCUAAUACCGCAUACUAUCAGAUGAGCCUAGGUCGGAUUAGCUAGCUGGUGGGGUAACGGCCUACCAAGGCGACGAUCCGUAACUGGUCUGAGAGGAGGAUCAGUCACACUGGAACUGAGACACGGUCCACACUCCUACGGGAGGCAGCAGUGGGGAAUAUUAGACAAUGGGCGAAAGCAUGAGCCAGCCAUGCCGCGUGUGUGAAGAAGGUCUUCGGAUUGUAAAGCACUGUAAGUUGGGAGGCGUUACCAACAGAAUAAGCACCGGCUAACUUCGUGCCAGCCGCCGCGGUAAUAC